GCGUGCUUAACACAUGCAAGUCGAACGGGAAGACAUGAAGAGCUUGCUCUUUAUGAAAUCCAGUGGCAAACGGGUGAGUAACACGUAAACAACCUGCCUUCAGGAUGGGGACAACAGACGGAAACGACUGCUAAUACCGAAUACGAUUCUUGAGUCGCAUGACWCAAGAAAGAAAGGGUGGCCUCUACUUGUAAGCUAUCGCCUGAAGAGGGGUUUGCGUCCGAUUAGGUAGUUGGUGAGGUAACGGCCCACCAAGCCGACGAUCGGUAGCCGGUCUGAGAGGAUGAACGGCCACAUUGGAACUGAGACACGGUCCAGACUCCUACGGGAGGCAGCAGUGGGGAAUCUUCCGCAAUGGGCGAAAGCCUGACGGAGCAACGCCGCGUGAGUGAAGACGGCCUUCGGGUUGUAAAACUCUGUGAUUCGGGACGAAAGAUAAGCAGACGAAUAAUCUGCAUAAGUGACGUAC
rnacentral:rRNA from 1 species